AACCCAAGAGAUUGAGCCUAGAAUUCUUAACCCUCCCAAAACCUGUCUCUCUCGUCCUCCCUCUCUAUCCAUCAUAGCAAACACCCAAAUUCACCUACCCAUGUAAUUCUCGGAUCUUCCACCUUCGAAUUUCCGAUGGCGUUUCCCUACACAAACCUCACGCUUUCUCUCUCUUUAUCCUCUCCCUCGCCCUCUCCGCCUUCUCUCCCUUCGACAACUACGCCUUCGACUGCGGCUUCACCUUCGACGAUGGCUGCCGCUUCAUUCCGGACUUGUCCAUUUUAUCUCGCUCAAUUUCACUCCGAAACCAAAACCCCAAUCCCAAUUCCCCCCAAAUUUACCAAACCGCUAGGGUUUUCCCACAGCCAUCCUAGUAUGAGUUCCAAAUCUGCGAGCCGGGGACCCACAUGAAGGUUAGAAAUGUCACUGAGACGUCAUGACGUUGAGCAGUGGAUGAGCCAUAGACGGUUGCCAGAUGAACUAGGGAGGUAUCAUAAUAUAUAUUUUUUUAUUUGGAUUUCCACGUGAAGUUACAAUGUUACAUCAUACAUUUUAAGCUGUGCAAAACUGCAUCAUUUGGAAACUUGUUAUGAUUGAAAUCAUGACUGCUGUUAACAUUCAACGUUACUUGGGCACGUGCCAUAUAUCCAUGGGAGUGUGGUGCUAAACUGCUAACUUUUGUUUCUGUGGACAACUACUGUUAAUAGUAAUAAGAUAUGUUCCGAGGAAUAGCAUGUUCAUGAUAAACUGUCAUUCUUAAGUAUGUCUUACAAUGUUAUAGCACCUCAAGGAUAUAACCAAAAGUUAAAUUGGUUAUGAAAUAUUUGAAGAUACAAUUUGAGUACUCUGGUUGAGAAUUGUUUUGAACUAAUUCAAUUUGCUAUCUACAGGCUCUUCCUAUAUAUUUGGAUAAGCUUUUCAAUUAGUAUGUUGCUAUAAUCCUCUCUGUGACUUUUGACCUGUUUUUCAGAUAGGUGAGUUUUUUUUUUCCAUGAUUUGGCAUUGUGGUUCAAUGACAAGCUGAACUAUAGGGCUAUACAUUGAUUGUUAGGUUGUCAUAUGAUUUUUCACCAAUCAUCAAUAACAGAUAAAAUUUGAAGUACAGAACGCCUAAAAGUUAUCCCAACAAUUUAGGAAAGUGAGGGAGCCAAUGCUGGAGGAAAAAUAUGUUUAUACAGUGGCCCAACACGGUUGUCAUCCAUAGUUACAAUGCCAUUGGUUUCAAGAAAAGGGAAAUGAUAUUUGUACCUAAAAGAGAUAAGUAGCAACCUUUGUGUUCAUUAUGGUUGGGGCGGAAUUUGAUUUGGUGUUUGCUUUUAUUCUGCCAGGUUAUUCCACAAGCAAUAUGCACUAGAUAUGGACUUGCUGUGGGUUCCAACCAAUAUGGUAUCACUUGGAUUGCUUCAGAAGGACUCAAGCACAGAGUCUUUGAGACAUCACUGGCUAACCUUCAGGGAGAUGAGGAGCAUGCUUACAGCAAAAUGUGGUUGAUAGCUUAAAAUAUCCAAGGAAGGAUUGUUUUUGCUUGCUAUGUAUUUUUCUUUGCUCAUAAGCAAAUUUUAUAUGAUGUACAAUAAAUAGAUUAAUGAAGUUCAUUUACUAAUAAAAAUAUAUAUAGCAACAUGAAAUAUAUAAAUUGUGAACUUUUGGAUUUUUUAAUUUUUUAACCAUCAUUUACGGCGUGCAUUGUAUGUGUGCUGUAAAUAUACCCCCCGCCCCC